rnacentral:rRNA from 1 species
AACGAACGCUGGCGGCGUGCCUAAUACAUGCAAGUCGAGCGCAGGAAAUCGACGGAACCCUUCGGGGGGAAGUCGACGGAAUGAGCGGCGGACGGGUGAGUAACACGUAAAGAACCUGCCCUCAGGUCUGGGAUAACCACGAGAAAUCGGGGCUAAUACCGGAUGGGUCAUCGGACCGCAUGGUCCGAGGAUGAAAGGCGCUUCGGCGUCGCCUGGGGAUGGCUUUGCGGUGCAUUAGCUAGUUGGUGGGGUAAUGGCCCACCAAGGCGACGAGGCAUAGCCGACCUGAGAGGGUGAUCGGCCACACUGGGACUGAGACACGGCCCAGACUCCUACGGGAGGCAGCAGUAGGGAAUCUUCCACAACGGACGAAAGUCUGAUGGAGCAACGCCGCGUGAACGAUGAAGGCCUUCGGGUCGUAAAGUUCUGUUGUAAGGGAAGAACAAGUGCCGCAGGCAAUGGCGGCACCUUGACGGUACCUUGCGAGAAAGCCACGGCUAACUACGUGCCAGCCGCCGCCGUAAGAC